CACCGGGAAGGACGCCCGGGAGCAUGGGCUUGUACCGCGCGUCGCCUGCCUUCCGCCAUUGCCGCAUUUGAGGGAUAUGAGACAGUAAGAUGUUCACUAUCAGUUUAUUUGUGCUUUGGAGUCCAUAUAGAAGAAUACCUCUGAUUUCAGAGCUAACAUGUUUGCACAACAUGUUAUUGUCAUAGCAUGUUUGAAACGAGAUGUCCCUGCAAUUAAUUGAAUGAUAUCUCUGCCGUGUAUAUGGUCAAGAAAUGAUAAGCAAAAGAGAACAGUACUACAGAAGAAAUAUUACAAAUAUUGAUGUUGGGAAGACAUGAAAGCUGCGAAAUCAAGGAUUUUUCUUCAAAGAUGUCCUGGAAAAUAUGCAUGACUUUGAGUGUCUGUGGAGAGAUGGUGAAAGAAACCACAUAGAAAGGCCUGUAACCUACAAAAAAGUCUCCCUGGAAAAAACAGAUCAAGUGGUAGCCGGUAUGGGAGGGGGACAAUGCUACUGAAAAUAGAAUGGAGCUCUGGAGAUGGAUGAACUGCAGAUACUUGAAGCUGAGUGGAAAUUUAUGAAUGAAAUGAAAAUAGGAAUACAGUAAAAAAAAAAAAAACACAAAGGAAGUAAAUGAAAUUUUGAGUAAAGGAAUUUAGGACAGAAAGAGGCAUAAGGACUUAAUCCCAUCAGUAUUACCAGUGACUGGAUAUUUAAAUAAGAUGUUGAAACACUGAUUCUCCUCACAACCUACAAGAAAGAUUCUGCAAGAUGGGGCUGGAUUUCUCGAGGCUCUUUAGGAACUAAUGUUUUCAACAAAAAAUAAAGAAGAGAAAAUGAUGUAUGUGAAAGGGAGGAACUACAGAAACACCUAUUGUCCAUGCUUGCCCUGCUCCCACUCCCUCCCACCCCCACCCCAAUUUGGCAUGAAACCCACAUUGAUGACGACUUUUCCUGAACAGGGAGCAGAUACCCAGUUUCCCUUCCGGAACUACUGAAUCAGGAGCACAAGGGUAAAACAACAGAGGCUCACAAGAGACUUGCAAAGAUACAACAUGACCAACCCUCACCCAGGGCCAGCAGGCUCCUGCAGGUCUCCAGCAUCACGUCCCUGUAGAGCGCCCGCUGAGCAGGCCCCAGGCACGCCCACUCCUCCUCGGAGAAGUCGAUGGCCACGUCCUCCAAUGUCAGCUGUCCCUGAAAGGAAAGCAGAUUUCACCACGUGGACGGGGAGAGUUUUUUGAACACAAAAUAAAAACUGCUUCGGCUGUGUGAGAAUUAACUUUGCUGGAGUAUUCUGACCAAGGUAAGAUAAUUUUGAACAAGCGUUCUCUAAUUUCGUAAAACUAAAGCAAAAUUCACCGCAUGUGAAGUCAUUCACCGCAUGGGAAGUCAGCCAUUUUCCGGUACUGGCGUUUACAUUCAGAGUUGAAAGGACAUCACUUCCAUUGAGUUCAAAAACAAUUUUAACCACAAAGAUACUCCUUUAUCCAGGAAGCAGUGGCUUCCCAUUUCCCCUCUUUUGGAUAGUGCCAUGUUAGGUAUGAUCUUUUAUGUCUGGGUUUCCCCUCACAAUGUGGAUUGUCCAUGAUGCAGUUUGUAGCAACUAAAAUCCUUUCGUUUUUUUUUUUUUUUUAAA